CUGCCAGUAGUCAUAUGCUUGUCUCAAAGAUUAAGCCAUGCAAGUCUGAGUAUAAUUGUUUUACGGUGAAACUGCGAAUGGCUCAUUAAAUCAGUUAUAGUUUAUUUGAUGCUAUAGACCGCAAGGUCACUACAUGGAUAUCUGUAGUAACAUAGAGCUAAUACAUGCAAUAUAGUCUGACUUUUUGGAAGGACUAGCACUUAUUAGAUAUUAAACCAGUCCCAGCAAUGGGUUUUUUGGUGAUUCAUAGUAACUGAACAAAUCACAUGGUCUUGUACCGGUGAUGUUUCAUUCAAAUUUCUGCCCUAUCAACUAGAUGGUAGUAUAUAGGACUACCAUGGUUGUAACGGGUAACGGAGGAUUAGGGUUUGAUUCCGGAGAAGGAGCAUGAGAAACGGCUACUAUUUCUAAGGAAAAGCAGCAGGCGC
rnacentral:rRNA from 1 species